rfam:Thioclava sp. 25B10_4, complete genome.
GCGGAUGGCUGGAUGGCCGCGAGCGCCCGUAGCCCCGCGCAAUGCGGGCAGCCGGGUGCCCGAGGAAAGUCCGGACUCCAUGAAGCAACGGUGCCGGGUAACGCCCGGGCGGGGAAACCCGACGGAAAGCGCCACAGAAAACAGACCGCCCCGGUUUCGGCCGGGGUCAGGGUGAAACGGUGGGGUAAGAGCCCACCGCGGGACUGGCAACAGGACCGGCACGGCAAGCCCCACCGGGAGCAACGCCGAAUAGGGAUCGUGUGCUGCGCCGCUUGCGGUGAUGGCAGGGGAGCUUCGCCCCGAGCGAUCCGGGUUGGCGGCUGGACCCUGCGAGCAAUCGCAGGGCGAGAGGAAUGGUCAUCCACGGGGGCGCGAGCCCUCGGGACAAAAUCCGGCUUACAGGCCGUCCGCGCAA